UACGAGAGGUGCAAGCGUUGUUCGGAAUGACUGGGCGUAAAGCGCACGUAGGCGGAUUCGCAAGUAGGAUGUGAAAGCCCCAGGCUCAACCUGGGAAUGGCACCCUAAACUACGGAUCUUGAAUGCUUGAGAGGUUGGUGGAAUUCCUGGUGUAGGAGUGAAAUCCGUAGAUAUCAGGAGGAAUAUCGGAGGCGAAGGCGGCCAACUGGUGAUGCAUUGACGCUAAGGUGCGAAAGCGUGGGGAGCAAACAGGAUUAGAUACCCUGGUAGUCCACGCCGUAAACUAUGGAUACUAGGUGUUUGGGAAAUUAACCUCCUGAGUACCAAAGCUAACGCGUUAAGUAUCCCGCCUGGGGAGUACGGUCGCAAGGCUAAA
rnacentral:rRNA from 1 species